GUGCUGGUUUGGGUGAAUUUAGGCAUGUACCAGCAUUUGCUAGAGAAUUAGACAAGUUUCUCUAAUUCAACUAUUUAGUUUAGGUUUCGAAUGUUAUUCAUUGAGUAGUGAGUUAAUGAAUUUCAAAUGAACUAUUUGCAAAUCUUGCUAUCUGCUUGUUGCUUUAAAAUCAGAAUGCAUAAUAAGGUAUGUAAUUGUGCUAGACUACUUGUAAUUUACCUCUUGAGCGACGUUCUAAUAGAAAGAUGAGAAACACCAAUCAGUUAAUGAUACCAUGUAUCUGUCAUGAGUUAUAUGUUUGUUUUUUAGAAUAUUCUUGUGACUAUAACAGGUUGAGCGUUCAGUUUGAGGAGAGCAUGUUGUGACUUAUGUUUUGUUGGGCCCUUUUUUAAAUUUAC
rnacentral:misc_RNA from 1 species